rnacentral:rRNA from 1 species
AUUGAACGCUGGCGGCAGGCUUAACACAUGCAAGUCGAGCGGGGACUUCGGUCCUAGCGGCGAACGGGUGAGGAAUGCUUGGGAAUCUGCCCAGUAGCGGGGGAUAACGUUUCGAAAGGAACGCUAAUACCGCAUACGCCCUACGGGGGAAAGGGGGGGAUCUUCGGACCUCUCACUAUUGGAUGAGCCCAAGUCGGAUUAGCUGGUUGGUGGGGUAAAGGCCUACCAAGGCGACGAUCCGUAGCUGGUCUGAGAGGAUGAUCAGCCACACUGGAACGGAGACAGGGUCCAGACUCCUACGGGAGGCAGCAGUGGGGAAUAUUGGACAAUGGGCGAAAGCCUGAUCCAGCCAUGCCGCGUGUGUGAAGAAGGCCUUCGGGUUGUAAAGCACUUUAAGCGAGGAGGAAUGGCUGAGGGUUAAUAACCUUCAGCAGUGACGUUACUCGCAGAAUAAGCACCGGCUAACUCUGUGCCAGCCGCCGCAGUAAAAC